rnacentral:rRNA from 1 species
GGCUCAGGAUGAACGCUGGCGGCAGGCUUAACACAUGCAAGUCGAACGGUCCUUCGGGAUAGUGGCGGACGGGUGAGUAACACGUGGGAACGUACCCUUAGGUUCGGAACAACACAGGGAAACUUGUGCUAAUACCGGAUGAGCCCUUCGGGGGAAAGAUUUAUCGCCUUUGGAGCGGCCCGCGUCUGAUUAGCUAGUUGGUGAGGUAAUGGCUCACCAAGGCGACGAUCAGUAGCUGGUCUGAGAGGAUGGCCAGCCACACUGGGACUGAGACACGGCCCAGACUCCUACGGGAGGCAGCAGUGGGGAAUA